GAACCGAGUGAAUGUUUGGUAGCAGAAUGAGGGGGAGGGCAGCCUCAGAAAGCUGUGUAAUCCGCACGGGGUUGGGCACAAGGUUGAUCCGUAGCGCAUUGGAUUUACUUCCGUAAAUAUUCCAUAAAUAUCGUAAAUAUAGGUAAAUAUUAUUCACCUGCACGAUAUUCGGCACAACAUUUUGUUCAGUGUGGAUAAUGACAGUUAAGAACUGUCACUUGUUUGUUUCCUUCGUUUACAAACUGUCACCGCUCCAAUAUUUUUCGAGCUUGAGGUUUUUUGACCAUCUACUGCCUCGGACUUGGGAUUUCACCGGAGGUCGAUACGACGGUGCGGAUUUGCGCCGGCUGUGCCGAACGCUGCGCGUCGACGCCUUCCGGACGCGAGACCUGCACUGCAACAGUUACGUCGAGAACGAGCAGGAGGACAAGGAAGACGAGGAAGUGUGCCGGUUCUGCUUGAAGGCGGAUGGCGGGGCGGCGUUGGUCGAGUUGUUUCCGGGCGGCGGCGGGAGCGUGGCGGAUGAUGCCGGUGCCGGUGAAGCUGGAGGACGUGACGGAUUCGUCGGAUUCGUACAGCAUUGGCAGCGAGAAUGGGGAAGGGGUGAGGGUUUUGAGUCGGACAGUUCGACGGCGGAUAACGGGGAGAAGCGUGGGGAAAAGCGGAAGGUCACGGCACGGUUGCUGCCGUGGAUUGGAAGUGACCACGAGGUUACGAAGGUUACAAGUCUAAAUGUUUGAACGGAGCGGAGGAUGGAGUUCAAGCGAAGGUGAAGGCCAAUAAUGUGGAUAUUUAAGGUGCUUCUGCACAUGGUCAGAAAAAUGACAAAUUCGGCAUAUAACAACCGUACGCCAUGAUUAUU
rnacentral:misc_RNA from 1 species